rnacentral:lncRNA from 1 species
UAUGCCGGAGCAAGGUCGGAUAUGGCCGAAAACCUCGAAUCGGCGGGGGUAUGAGUGAAGACCUUCAUAGUCUAGCCUAGAACCUUCAAGCAUCAGGCACAUAAGAGCAGUAGGAGGUGAGUAUAAGCCAUCCAUAGCCUAAGAAGCCAUGGAUUCCAAUGAGUUUGGGGUUGAAAGUUGAAUAAGGUGAUUAGGGCUUCGAGAGAGUUCGAGAGAUUUUGAGAGAUGAUAGGAU